rnacentral:rRNA from 1 species
GACGAACGCUGGCGGCGUGCUUAACACAUGCAAGUCGAACGGAAAGGCCUCUUUCGGGGGGUACUCGAGUGGCGAACGGGUGAGUAACACGUGAGUAACCUGCCCUUGACUUUGGGAUAACUUCAGGAAACUGGGGCUAAUACCGGAUAGGAGCUCCUGCUGCAUGGUGGGGGUUGGAAAGUUUCGGCGGUUGGGGAUGGACUCGCGGCUUAUCAGCUUGUUGGUGGGGUAGUGGCUUACCAAGGCUUUGACGGGUAGCCGGCCUGAGAGGGUGACCGGCCACAUUGAGACUGAGAUACGGCCCAGACUCCUACGGGAGGCAGCAGUGGGGAAUAUUGCACAAUGGGUGGAAGCCUGAUGCAGCAACGCCGUGUGCGGGAUGACGGCCUUCGGGUUGGAAACCGCUUUCGCUCAUGACGAAGCUUUGUGUGACGGUAGUGGGUAAAGAAGCACCGGCUAACUACGUG